rnacentral:misc_RNA from 1 species
CCGGGUCGGAUUCCCCCGGAGCUUGGGAACUUGACCAACCUGGAGAUUUUGUGGCUCACUGAAUGUAAUUUAGUGGGUGAAAUUCCUGACUCUCUAGGUCGACUCAAGAACCUCAAGGAUUUGGACGUUGCAGUUAAUAAUUUAGUCGGCAACAUCCCGAUUUCACUCACUGAGUUGACUAGCGUGUUUCAAAUCGAGCUCUAUAACAACUCGCUGACUGGUGAGUUGCCACGAGGCUUGGGAAAUUUGACAUCAUUGAGAC